CAGGGGGCGCUGCGGCGGCCCCCACCGUGUCCGCGCCCAGCCGCCUGCGGUCUACGCGGUCCGCUGUGCGUCUCCGAGUGUGGGAACUGCGUCUCGGGUUGGAGCAGCGCAGCACAGAUUGGCAGCCAGGUGUGGACAGCCCGCUGCGCCCCCACCCCGGCCCGGCCGAGCGCUCUGCUUCCCGAGCGAGCGCAGGGCGGAGAAAGAAAGCCUUGUGGUGCUCUGAGAGGCCGCGGGGAGAGAAUGCAUGCAGCCUCGGUCGCUGAACUCCAAAACCUUGCGCACCACGCUUCUUUGAUGACCCUGCCGGACUCCUGGAGGAGGAAUCAUCGGGUCUACUGUUGUCUCCGUUGUGCUAGGACUGUUUUCUUCAGAAACAUCAUCGGUUUGAUCAGAUACUACUUUAUCAGUCUUGGCUCAGAGAUCACUGCUGCUUUUCUGAAGAACUUUUGUGGCUUCAUGCUCAGGUACUUCUGAUGGAGUGAGCUAACAUCAGAACUAACUGUCAGGGUCAUCUCUUUUUCUCAAAAACUGGUCAGUGCUAACAUCGCUUGACAUUAACAGCAAAUCCUCCUCACUAUCUGAAGAGUUAGCAUCAUUGGAAUUGUAAUCUCACAUGAAGUUAUAUUUUUGGAACAUUGGCUCAUCUUCAAUUCCAUUUCCUGACCAACAUGCUGUAUUUCUUUUUCCUUUUCCUCUUUAUCUGCCCCAAUAUUUGAAUCUCAUAGGAAGAUUUUCUUUGAGCUAGUUUCCUGGGCUGCUAGACAGGUAACAUCUUUG
rnacentral:lncRNA from 1 species